rnacentral:rRNA from 1 species
UGCUUAGCCGUAAAAAAUUAACUUACAUACACCCGCCAGGGAAUUACAAGCGCAAGCCUAAAACCCAAAGGACUUGACGGUGUCCAACCCCCCUAGAGGAGCCUGUUUUUUAAUCGUCAUUACUCGUUAAACCUUACUACUCUUUGCUAUCAGCCUGUAUACUUCCGUCGUAAGCUUGCCACAUGAGUGCUAAAAAGCAAGCUCAAUGAUCUAUUCAUCACCACGUCAGGUCAAGGUGCAGCCAAAAGAGUAGCUAAAAUUGGCUACAGUCUCUAUUAUAGAACAUACGGAAUGAUCAUGUGAAAUGUGAUCAAGAAGGUGAAUUUAGUAGUAAAAAGAAAAUAGAGUGUUCUUUUGAACACGGCACUUGGACAUGU